AGAGUUUGAUCAUGGCUCAGGACGAACGCUGGCGGCGUGCUUAACACAUGCAAGUCUACUUGAACGCUCUGCUUGCAGAGAACUAUGGUGGCGAACGGGUGAGUAACGCGUAGACAAUCUGCCCCUUUCAGUGGGAUAAUCUCGGGAAACUGGGUCUAUACCACAUAACAUCUUUUUACGGCAUCGUAUUAAGAUUAAAGAUUUCGAAUCGGUAAGGGAUGAGUCUGCGUACCAUUAGCUAGUUGGUGGGGUAAUAGCCUACCAAGGCAUCGAUGGUUAGCUGGUCUGAGAGGAUGAUCAGCCACACUGGGACUGAGAUACGGCCCAGACUCCUACGGGAGGCAGCAGUGAGGAAUAUUGCACAAUGGGGGCAACCCUGAUGCAGCAACGCCGCGUGUACGAUGAAUCAGUUUAUCUGUGUAAAGUACUGUUAAUUGGGACGAAUUAUAGGGUUUGUAGCCUUAUUUGACUGUACCAGUAGAGGAAGCUCCGGCUAACUCCGUGCCAGCAGCCGCGGUAAUACGGGGGGAGCAAGCGUUAUCCGGAAUUAUUGGGCGUAAAGCGCAUGUAGGUGGGCUAUUAAGUCAGUUGUAAAAUAUCAAGGCUCAACCUUGACAUGCAAUUGAAACUGGUAGUCUUGAGUAUGAGAGGGGACAGCGGAAUACCUAGUGUAGCGGUGGAAUGCGUAGAUAUUAGGUAGAACACCAGUGGCGAAGGCGGCUGUCUGGCUCAUAACUGACACUGAGAUGCGAAAGCAUGGGUAGCAAACAGGCUUAGAUACCCUGGUAGUCCAUGCUGUAAACGAUGGGAACUAGAUGUCGGGGGUCCAACCCCUUCGGUGCCGUAGCUAACGCGUUAAGUAUCCCGCCUGGGGAGUACGAUCGCAAGGUUGAAACUCAAAGGAAUUGACGGGGGCCCGCCCAAGCGCGUGAGCAUGUGUUAUAAUUCGAUGCAACGCGAAGACUACUGGCUGAGCUUGAACCUUAGUGAACCGUAACAGAGAUGUUAUUUUUGAAUUUAUUCAACAGCUAAAAAGGUGCUGCAUGCUGCGUCAGCUGGUCAUGCAUGUGUUAGUCCGCACGAGGCAACCUUACUAUGCAGCGCUAGGCGACUAUGACUGCCGCGUCACUGUGAGAAGUGGCGAUGAGACUGCCCGGGUUAAACCGGAGGCAGGUGGGGAUGACGUCAAGUCCUCAUGGCCCUUAUGUCCAGGGCUACACACGUGCUACAAUGGCCGGUACAGAGGGACGCAAGGCCGCGAGGUGGAGUAAACCCAAAAAGCCGGUCUCAGUUCGGAUUGGAGUCUGCAACUCGACUCCAUGAAGCUGGAAUCGCUAGUAAUCGCGUAUCAGCAUGACGCGGUGAAUACGUUCCCGGGCCUUGUACACACCGCCCGUCACACCAUGAGAGUUGAUUGUGCUCGAUGCAACUGAUCCAACCCGCAAGGGAGGAAGGUUGUUAAGGCAAGAUUGAUAACUGGGGUGAAGUCGUAACAAAGGUA
rnacentral:rRNA from 1 species